GACGAACGCUGGCGGCGUGCCUAAUACAUGCAAGUAGAACGCACAGUUUAUACCGUAGCUUGCUACACCAUAAACUGUGAGUUGCGAACGGGUGAGUAACGCGUAGGUAACCUGCCUGGUAGCGGGGGAUAACUAUUGGAAACGAAAGCUAAUACCGCAUAAUAUUGAUUAUUGCAUGAUAAUUGAUUGAAAGAUGCUAUUGCAUCACUACCAGAUGGACCUGCGUUGUAUUAGCUAGUAGGUGAGGUAACGGCUCACCUAGGCGACGAUACAUAGCCGACCUGAGAGGGUGAUCGGCCACACUGGGACUGAGACACGGCCCAGACUCCUACGGGAGGCAGCAGUAGGGAAUCUUCGGCAAUGGACGAAAGUCUGACCGAGCAACGCCGCGUGAGUGAAGAAGGGUUUCGGAUCGUAAAGCUCGGUUGUAAGAGAAGAACGGGUGUGAGAGUGGAAAGUUCACACUGUGACGGUAUCUUACCAGAAAGGGACGGCUAACUACGUG
rnacentral:rRNA from 1 species